GCUGUGAGUCGAUGGCGGCCGAAAAACGAGAACCGGACGAGUGGCGUCUGGAGAAGUAUGUGGGUGCCCUGGAAGACAUGCUGCAGGCCCUGAAAGUCCAAGCAAGUAAACCGGCCUCGGAAGUGAUCAGUGAGUACUCCCGCAAAGUGGACUUUCUGAAGGGCAUGCUGCAGGCUGAGAAGUUGACCUCCUCCUCUGAAAAGGCUCUAGCUAACCAGUUCCUGGCUCCUGGCCGCGUGCCCACCACAGCCAAGGAGCGGGUGCCUGCCACCAAGACUGUACAUUUGCAGUCUAGAGCACGUUACACCAGUGAGAUGCGGAGUGAGCUGUUGGGCACGGAGUCCUCUGGAGAGCUGGAGGCAGACAUGAGGAAGCGAGUAGGCACCAGGGCCUCCAGGAAAAGCUGGCUGAGGAGAUGCUAGGCUUGGCCCGCAGCCUGAAGACCAACACACUGGCUGCCCAGAGUGUCAUCAAGAAGGACAACCAGACCCUGUCACAUUCGCUCAAGAUGGCAGACCAGAACCUGGAGAAGCUGAAGCUGGAGUCAGAGCGGCUGGAGCAGCACGCACAGAAGUCGGUGAACUGGCUGCUGUGGGCCAUGCUCAUCGUCGUGUGCUUCGUGUUCAUCAGCAUGAUCCUGUUCAUACGCAUCAUGCCCAGACUGAAAUAAAACAACACCCGCCCGCC
rnacentral:lncRNA from 1 species